AGGUGAACAACACGUGGUCUCGGCCCCUCCCGCAGACAGCGAGGCACUGAUCCUGGGCGGGACCUAGCCAGGUGUUGCUAACAGUCACGUUUGGGGCGCUCCAGGGGGGAUGCUCUUUAUGAGAAACGAUUUCAGGGGGAAAGAGGUGUGCAAGCGAGGACGCAUUUCCCGGGCCAAUUCCGAGGGUCACAGCAACCCGUCGCUCAGUGUGGGUCACGUGCCCAGGGUCAUCAGAACCCCCCAUCCCCCGCCUCGGCAGGGCUUUGGAAAACCCAGAGGUGCGAGCGCCGCCUCGCCCCGCCCCUCCCCGCCGGGCGACUACAAAUCCCAUCCUGCCCUGCGCUCGCGCACGUUACGCCAGAGCAAGAUGGCCGACACGACGGCCUCUGCGGGGGCUGGCAGCUCCGGAAUGAGAUCAGGAAGUAAACAGUCCACUAACCCUGCUGACAAUUACCAUCUGGCCCGGAGGCGAACCCUGCAAGUGGUUGUGAGCUCCUUGCUGACGGAGGCCGGGUUUGAGAGUGCUGAGAAAGCAUCCGUGGAAACACUGACAGAGAUGCUUCAGAGCUACAUUUCAGAAAUUGGGAGGAGUGCCAAGUCUUACUGUGAGCACACAGCCAGGACCCAGCCCACGCUGUCAGACAUUGUGGUCACUCUUGUCGAGAUGGGUUUCAACGUGGACACUCUCCCUGCUUAUGCAAAGCGGUCUCAGAGGAUGGUCAUUACUGCCCCUCCAGUGACCAAUCAGCCGGUGACUCCCAAGGCUCUCACUGCAGGGCAGAAUCGACCCCACCCGCCGCACAUCCCCAGCCAUUUUCCUGAGUUCCCCGACCCGCACACCUACAUCAAAACUCCGACGUACCGCGAGCCUGUGUCUGACUACCAGGUCCUGCGGGAGAAGGCUGCAUCCCAAAGACGUGACGUGGAGCGGGCGCUCACCCGCUUUAUGGCCAAGACGGGCGAGACCCAGAGUCUGUUCAAAGACGACGUCAGCACGUUUCCACUGAUUGCUGCCAGACCCUUCACCAUCCCCUACCUGACAGCUCUUCUUCCGUCUGAACUGGAGAUGCAGCAAAUGGAAGAGACGGAUUCCUCGGAGCAGGAAGAGCAGACAGACACAGAGAACCUCCCUCUUCAUAUCAGCACGGAUGACUCUGGAGCCGAGAAGGAGAACACCUCUGUCCUGCAGCAGAACUCCUUGUCCGGGAGCCGGAGCGGGGAGGAGAGCCUCAUCGAUAACCCCUACCUGCGCCCCGUGAAGAAGCCCAAGAUCCGCAGGAAGAAGUCCCUCUCGUGAGCUGAGGAGGAAGCCUGCCUUGUACAGAGAUGCGGACACCACGCUCCUGGGGAGUGAAAGCCACUCGAGGGAAGCAGAAAGAGUGGCCUCCCGUGCGCCAGCCGAAGCUGUGACUGGGAAUGCUUUUAAUAGCAGAUUCUGUGUUAAUAUUUCCCAUUUUCACUGGAUGUUUGGGUUGAGGAAGCUAUGAUGUGGUGGCAAUAACGAGGCUUUCUUAAUUAACCAGGCUGGACUGGGGCAUAGGAGCAGCUGGUGACGACCUCAUUCAUUAUCACAGGACCUCAUUCCUUUGACCUGAGAGACCAGGGAAGGCAGCAGAAAGAAGGGGCUGUGCCUUCUCUGCUUACUCCAGAAGGACUGUUCACCUCGUUUCUGUUUCAGGCUAUCCCGGUCCCUCUUAUUGACUCACAGACAAUGUGUAGCAUCAGUUUAUCACUUGCUUUGCCUUGGUGGGAACCUCAUUCUUAUUUCUCUUCUCACCUGGGCGCCGAGUGCCCUGCUGAGAUGACGGAAGGUGACUUUGCCUUCCCACAUGGCACUCCUUGACCUGGGCCGGCAGGAGUCGGGAGGGGUGAGCAGGCAUGUCACGUGGAGGAGGGUGGUGCAUCACAGCACACCAGCUCUCUCAUCGCAUUUGGUGAACUCUUCCUUCAAGGCAGCGCCCUCUCUGGGGGAUUGGUAUUUAUCGUCCCUCUGUGGAAUGUGUGCUUUGGGCCACUGAGUCCUGCCCCGUCCAGGAAAAGAGCUUUCUCUGACAAGAGCCUCUGCAGGAUCUAUUCUGCUGUGACUUGCUGGAGGAAUCCGACCUUAAAGAGCAGGAAAGGGAUUGGGGGGGAACGGGGGAGAACUUGAGGGCUGGAUGGCCUGUUUGCUGGGAGCCGGGAGCCCGGGGCGUCUGCUGGAAGCCGGCACAGAAGGGCGCCGUGCGUGGAAGCCAGUGGGCCAGGCCACGGAGCUCUCCCAGAAGGUCUGAGUCUGUUCAGCCGCUUUGCAUCCUGGGGAGAGAUUUCAUCCUGCCUGAACCUACAGAUCAAAACAAGUGUUUAAGGAAGAUGCUGGACAAGCUGAUACCCUUUGGCUGGUCUCUGAAAGAAGAGAUU